AAUAGACCGCGCACACGUUAUCUAUCCCGCUGAUGGCGGCACUGCUCGCCAUCCGGCCAAGUCCCCGACCACCUCCCCUCCUCGGAGGGGGGCCGGGGCAACAGAACCCACGGCGCCGACGGCGUCAAGGAACACUAUGCCUAACCCGAGGGUGUGGCUGGCUUGCUAGCCACCCCUCGUGUUGCGAUGCUAUCUAAUCCACACGACUCUCGGCAACGGAUAUCUCGGCUCUCGCAUCGAUGAAGAACGUAGCGAAAUGCGAUACCUGGUGUGAAUUGCAGAAUCCCGCGAACCAUCGAGUCUUUGAACGCAAGUUGCGCCCGAGGCCACCCGGCUGAGGGCACGCCUGCCUGGGCGUCACGCCAAUACACGCUCCCACCACCCUCAUUGGGUUGCGGGAUGCGGAUUCUGGCCCUCCGUGCCGUGAGGCGCGGCGGGCCGAAGAUCGGGCUGCCGGCGUAUCGUGCCGGACACAGCGCGUGGUGGACUUCUACUCAGCGCAGUGCAUUCGACAUGUAGCCGGCGCAGCGGCCCCAAAGACCCAAUGAACGGAGCGCAUGUCGCUUCGACC
rnacentral:misc_RNA from 1 species